rnacentral:rRNA from 2 species
AGUGGCGAACGGGUGAGUAACACGUGAGCAACCUGCCCCUGACUCUGGGAUAAGCGCUGGAAACGGCGUCUAAUACUGGAUAUGUGACGUGACCGCAUGGUCUGCGUCUGGAAAGAAUUUCGGUUGGGGAUGGGCUCGCGGCCUAUCAGCUUGUUGGUGAGGUAAUGGCUCACCAAGGCGUCGACGGGUAGCCGGCCUGAGAGGGUGACCGGCCACACUGGGACUGAGACACGGCCCAGACUCCUACGGGAGGCAGCAGUGGGGAAUAUUGCACAAUGGGCGCAAGCCUGAUGCAGCAACGCCGCGUGAGGGAUGACGGCCUUCGGGUUGUAAACCUCUUUUAGCAGGGAAGAAGCGAAAGUGACGGUACCUGCAGAAAAAGCGCCGGCUAACUACGUGCCAGCAGCCGCGGUAAUACGUAGGGCGCAAGCGUUAUCCGGAAUUAUUGGGCGUAAAGAGCUCGUAGGCGGUUUGUCGCGUCUGCUGUGAAAUCCGGAGGCUCAACCUCCGGCCUGCAGUGGGUACGGGCAGACUAGAGUGCGGUAGGGGAGAUUGGAAUUCCUGGUGUAGCGGUGGAAUGCGCAGAUAUCAGGAGGAACACCGAUGGCGAAGGCAGAUCUCUGGGCCGUAACUGACGCUGAGGAGCGAAAGGGUGGGGAGCAAACAGGCUUAGAUACCCUGGUAGUCCACCCCGUAAACGUUGGGAACUAGUUGUGGGGUCCAUUCCACGGAUUCCGUGACGCAGCUAACGCAUUAAGUUCCCCGCCUGGGGGAGUACGGNCGCAAGGCUAAAACUCAAAGGAAUUGACGGGGACCCGCACAAGCGGCGGAGCAUGCGGAUUAAUUCGAUGCAACGCGAAGAACCUUACCAAGGCUUGACAUAU